rnacentral:tRNA from 1 species
AUAAAGAUAGGUUAUUAAAACCGUUGAGCUGUGGAUUCAGAAAUGU